CCUACGGGGUGCAGCAGUGAGGAAUAUUGGUCAAUGGACGAGAGUCUGAACCAGCCAAGUAGCGUGAAGGAUGACUGCCCUAUGGGUUGUAAACUUCUUUUAUAUGGGAAUAAAAUGUUCCACGUGUGGGAUUUUGUAUGUACCAUAUGAAUAAGGAUCGGCUAACUCCGUGCCAGCAGCCGCGGUAAUACGGAGGAUCCGAGCGUUAUCCGGAUUUAUUGGGUUUAAAGGGAGCGUAGGUGGAUUGUUAAGUCAGUUGUGAAAGUUUGCGGCUCAACCGUAAAAUUGCAGUUGAAACUGGCAGUCUUGAGUACAGUAGAGGUGGGCGGAAUUCGUGGUGUAGCGGUGAAAUGCUUAGAUAUCACGAAGAACUCCGAUUGCGAAGGCAGUUCACUGGACUGCAACUGACACUGAUGCUCGAAAGUGUGGGUAUCAAACAGGAUUAGAUACCCGAGUAGUC
rnacentral:rRNA from 1 species